GAUGAACGCUGGCGGCGUGCCUAAUACAUGCAAGUCGAGCGAACAGACGGGGAGCUUGCUCCUCUGACGUUAUCGGCGGACGGGUGAGUAACACGUGGAUAACCUACCUAUAAGACUGGGAUAACUUCGGGAAACCGGAGCUAAUACCGGAUAACAUGUUGAACCACAUGGUUCAACAGUGAAAGACGGUCUUGCUUUCACUUAUAGAUGGAUCCGCGCCGCAUUAGCUAGUUGGUAAGGUAACGGCUUACCAAGGCAACGAUGCGUAGCCGACCUGAGAGCGUCAUACGACAGCCUGGAACUGAGACAGGGUCGAGACACCGACGGGGGGACGCAGUAGGGACUCUUCCGCAAGGGGCGAAAGCCGGACGGUGCAACACCGCGUGAGUGAAGAAGGUCUUAGGACGGGAAAGCGCUGUUAUUAGGGAAGAACAAAUGCGUAAGUAACUAUGAACGUCAUGACGGUACCUAAACAGAAAGCCACGGCUAACUACGUG
rnacentral:rRNA from 1 species